CUGAAGACUCUGCUUGACUAGCUGAGAGGAGGUGCAUGGCCGUCGUCAGUUCGUACUGUGAAGCAUCCUGUUAAGUCAGGCAACGAGCGAGACCCACGCCAACAGUUGCCAGCAUGUCCUCGGGAUGAUGGGGACACUGUUGGGACCGCCUCUGCGUAAAGAGGAGGAAGGAAUGGGCAACGGUAGGUCAGCAUGCCCCGAAUUAUCCGGGCUACACGCGGGCUACAAUGGUCAGGACAAUGGGUAUCGACACCGAGAGGUGGAGGCAAUCUCCUAAACCCAUCCGUAGUUCGGAUUGUGGGCUGCAACUCGCCCACAUGAAGCUGGAAUCUGUAGUAAUCGUGUCUCAAAAUGGCACGGUGAAUAUGUCCCUGCUCCUU
rnacentral:rRNA from 1 species